rnacentral:rRNA from 1 species
GUAGGGUGCGAGCGUUAAUCGGAAUUACUGGGCGUAAAGCGUGCGCAGGCGGUUAUGUAAGACAGAUGUGAAAUCCCCGGGCUCAACCUGGGAACUGCAUUAGUGACUGCAUAGCUGGAGUACGGCAGAGGGGGAUGGAAUUCCGCGUGUAGCAGUGAAAUGCGUAGAUAUGCGGAGGAACACCGAUGGCGAAGGCAAUCCCCUGGGCCUGUACUGACGCUCAUGCACGAAAGCGUGGGGAGCAAACAGGAUUAGAUACCCUGGUAGUCCACGCCCUAAACGAUGUCAACUGGGUUGUUGGGUCUUCACUGACUCAGUAACGAAGCUAACGCGUGAAGUUGACCGCCUGGGGAGUACGGCCGCAAGGUUG